rnacentral:lncRNA from 1 species
CAGCCCACGUGGGCCAAAAUCACCCGAACAGUCCACGGGAAGGGCCAGCGUGCUGAGUCCAAGGAUCAGCGUGCUGAUAUGUGUACUGAUGGACUGCCACGGACGUCCUGUGUGUGGUGAUAAAAACACACUGACAACCACGGAAGUUUUGUGUGUGCUGACGGACAGCCACGGAAGUCAUGUGUGUGCUGGCAGACAGCCAUGAACGUCCUGUGUGUACUGAACAGACAGCCCACGUUGGCUAAAAUCACCCAAACAGUCCAUGGGAAGGGCCUGCGUGCUGAGUCAAAGGACCAGCGUGCUGAUAUGCGAACUGAUGGACAACCACAAACACACACAGACACACACGGACACACACGGACAGCCACGGACAUCUUGUGUGUGCUGACGGAUAGCCACGGACGUCCUGUGUGUGCCGGCUGACACCCACGGACGUCCUGUGUGUACUGAACAGACAGCCAACGUGGGCAAAAAUCACCCGAACAGUCCACGGGAAGGGCCAGCGUGCUGAGUCCAAGAACCAGCGUGCUGAUAUGUGUACUGAUGGACAGCCACGGACGUCCUGUGUGUGCUGACGGACACACACGGACACACAUGGACAGCCACGGACGUCCUGUGUUUGGUGACGGACACACACGAACAUCAUGUGUGUGCUAACAGAUACCCACAGACGUCCUGUGUGUACUGAACAGACAGCCAACGUGGGCAAAAAUCACCCGAACAGUCCACGGGAAGGGCCAGCGUGCUGAGUCCAAGAACCAGCGUGCUGAUAUGUGUACUGAUGGACAGCCACAGACAUCUUGUGUGUGUGCUGAUGGACACACACGGACACACACAGACAGCCACGGACGUCCUGCGUGUACUGACGGACAGCCACGGACAGCCACGAACGUCCUGUGUGUGCUGGCGGACACCCACGAACGUCCUGUGUGUACUGAACAGACAGCCCACGUGGGCCAAAAUCACCCAAACAGUCCAUGGGAAGGGCCAGAGUGCUGAGUCCAAGGACCAACAUGCAGAUAUGUGUACUGAUGUAUAGCCACGGACGUCCUGUGUGUGCUGACGGACACACACGGACAGCCACAGACAUCAUGUGUGUGCUGACGGACACACACGGACGUUCUGUGUUUUUCCUGAUGGACACACACGGACGUCCUGUGUGUGCUGACGGACACACACGGACACACACGAACAGCCACAGACGUCCUGUGUGUGCUGACGGACAGCCACAGACAGCCACAAACGUCCUCUGUGUGCUGGUGGACACCCACAGAUGUCCUGUGUGUACUGAACAGACAGCCCACAUGGGCCAAAAUCACCCAAACAGUCCACGGGAAGGGCCAGCGUGAUGAGUCCAAAGACCAACGUGCUGAUAUAUGUACUGAUGGACAGCCACAGUCGUCCUGUGUGUGUUGCGGAUACCCACGGACGUCCUGUGUGUAUUGAACAGACAGCCCACGUGGGCCAAAAUCACCCGAACAGUCCACGGGAAGGGUCAGCGUGCUGAGUCCAAGGACCAACGUGCUGAUAUGUAUACUGAUGGACAGCCAGAGACGUCCUGUGUGCGCUGACGGACACACACGGACGUCUUGUGUGUGUUGACGGAAACCCACGGACGUCCUGUGUUUACUGAGCGGACAGCCCAGGUGGGCCAAAAUCACCCGAACAGUCCACGUGAAGGGCCAGCGUGCUGAGUCCAAGGACCAGAGUGCUAAUAUGUGUACUGAUGGACAGCCACGGUCGUCCUGUGUGUGAUGACGGACACACACGGACACACACAGACACACACGGACAGCCACAGACAUCCUGUGUGUGCUGAAGGACAGCCACGGACGUCCUGUGUGUGCUGACGGACAGCCACGGACGUCCUGUGUGUGCUGGCGGACACCCACGGAUGUCCUGUGUGUAACAUGGACAGCCACGGACGUCCUGUGUUUGGUGACGGACACACACGAACAUCAUGUGUGUGCUAACAGAUACCCACAGACGUCCUGUGUGUACUGAACAGACAGCCAACGUGGGCAAAAAUCACCCGAACAGUCCACGGGAAGGGCCAGCGUGCUGAGUCCAAGAACCAGCGUGCUGAUAUGUGUACUGAUGGACAGCCACGGACGUCCUGUGUGUGCUGACGGAGACACACGGACACACAUGGACAGCCACGGACGUCCUGUGUUUGGUGACGGACACACACGAACAUCAUGUGUGUGCUAACAGAUACCCACAGACGUCCUGUGUGUACUGAACAGACAGCCAACGUGGGCAAAAAUCACCCGAACAGUCCACGGGAAGGGCCAGCGUGCUGAGUCCAAGAACCAGCGUGCUGAUAUGUGUACUGAUGGACAGCCACAGACAUAUUGUGUGUAUGCUGAUGGACACACACGGACACACACAGACAGCCACGGACGUCCUGCGUGUACUGACGGAUAGCCACGGACAGCCACAAACGUCCUGUGUGUGCUGGUGGACACCCACGAACGUCCUGUGUGUACUGAACAGACAGCCCACGUGGGCCAAAAUCACCCAAACAGUCCAUGGGAAGGGCCAGAGUGCUGAGUCCAAGGACCAACAUGCAGAUAUGUGUACUGAUGUAUAGCCACGGACGUCCUGUGUGUGCUGACGGACACACACGGACAGCCACAGACAUCAUGUGUGUGCUGACGGACACACACGGACGUUCUGUGUUUUUCCUGAUGGACACCCACGGACGUCCUGUGUGUGCUGACGGACACACAGGGACAGCCACAGACAUCAUGUGUGUGCUGACGGACACACACGGACGUUCUGUGUUUUUCCUGAUGGACACCCACGGACGUCCUGUGUGUGCUGACGGACACACACGGACACACACGAACAGCCACAAACGUCCUGUGUGUGCUGACGGACAGCCACAGACAGCCACAAACGUCCUCUGUGUGCUGGUGGACUGGACGUCCUGUGUUUGGUGACGGACACACACGAACAUCAUGUGUGUGCUAACAGAUACCCACAGAUGUCCUGUGUGUACUGAACAGACAGCCCACAUGGGCCAAAAUCACCCAAACAGUCCACGGGAAGGGCCAGCGUGAUGAGUCCAAAGACCAACGUGCUGAUAUAUGUACUGAUGGACAGCCACAGACGUCCUGUGUGUGUUGCGGAUACCCACGGACGUCCUGUGUGUAUUGAACAGACCGCCCACGUGGGCCAAAAUCUACCGAACAGUCCACGGGAAGGGUCAGCGUGCUGAGUCCAAGGACCAACGUGCUGAUAUGUAUACUGAUGGACAGCCAGAGACGUCCUGUGUGCGCUGACGGACACACACGGACGUCUUGUGUGUGUUGACGGAAACCCACGGACGUCCUGUGUGUACUGAGCGGACAGCCCAGGUGGGCCAAAAUCACCCGAACAGUCCACGGGAAGGGCCAGCGUGCUGAGUCCAAGGACCAGAGUGCUGAUAUGUGUACUGAUGGACAGCCACGGUCGUCCUGUGUGUGAUGACAGACACACACGGACACACACAGACACACACGGACAGCCACAGACAUCCUGUGUGUGCUGAAGGACAGCCACGGACGUCGUGUGUGUGCUGACGGACAGCCACGGACGUCCUGUGUGUGCUGGCGGACACCCACGGAUCUCCUGUGUGUUUGAACAGACAACCCACGUGUGCCAAAAUCACCCGAACAGUCCACGGGAAGGGCCAGCGUGCUGAGUCCAAGGACCAGAGUGCUGAUAUGUGUACUGAUGGACAGCCACGGUCGUCCUGUGUGUGAUGACAGACACACACGGACACACACAGACACACACGGACAGCCACAGACAUCCUGUGUGUGCUGAAGGACAGCCACGGACGUCGUGUGUGUGCUGACGGACAGCCACGGACGUCCUGUGUGUGUUGACGGACACACACGGGCACACAUGGACAGCCACAGACGUCCUGUGUGUGGUGACGGACACACACAGACGUCCUGUGUGUGCUGACAGACACCCACGGAUGUCCUCUGUGUACUGAACAGACAGCCCACGUGGGCCAAAAUCACCCGAACAGUCCAUGGGAAGGGACAGCGUGUUGAGUCCAAGGACCAACGUGCUGAUAUGUGUACUGAUGGACAGCCACGGACGUCCUGUGUGUGUUGACGGACACACACGGGCACACAUGGACAGCCACAGACGUCCUGUGUGUGGUGACGGACACACACAGACGUCCUGUGUGUGCUGACAGACACCCACGGAUGUCCUCUGUGUACUGAACAGACAGCCCACGUGGGCCAAAAUCACCCGAACAGUCCAUGGGAAGGGACAGCGUGUUGAGUCCAAGGACCAGCGUGCUGAUAUGUGUACUGAUGGACAGCCACAGAAAUCCUGUGUGUGUGCUGACGGACACACACACAGACAGCCACAGACGUCUUGCGUGUACUGACGGACAGCCACGGACAGCCACGAACGUCCUGUGUGUGCUGGCGGACACACACAGACGUCCGGUGUGUACUGAACAGACAGCCCACGUGGGCCAAAAUCACCCGGGGCCAGGGUGCUGAGUCCAAGGACCAACGUGCUGAUAUGUGUACUGAUGGACAGCCACGGACGUCCUGUGCGUGAUGACGGACACACACGGACACACACGGACAGCCACACACGUCCUGUGUGUGCUGACAGACACACACAGAUGUCCUGUGUGUGCUGACGGACACACACGGACGUCCUGUGUGUGCUGACGGACACCCACGGACGUCCUGUGUGUACUGAACAGACAGCCCACGUGGGCCAAAAUCACCCGAACAGUCCACGGGAAGGGCCAGCGUGCUGAGUCCAAGGACCAGCGUGCUGAUAUGUGUACUGAUGGACAGCCACGGAUGUCCUGUGUGUGGUGAUAGACACACACUGACAACCACGGAAGUCCUGUGUGUGCUGACGGACAGCCACAUACGUCAUGUGUGUGCUGGCAGACACCCACGGACGUCCUGUGUGUACUGAACAGACAGACCACGUUGGCCAAAAUCAACCAAACAGUCCAUGGGAAGGGCCUGCGUACUGAGUCAAAGGACCAGCGUGCUGAUAUGCGUACUGAUGGACAACCACGGACACACACAGACACACACGGACACAAACGGACAGCCAUGGACAUCCUGUGUGUGCUGACGGAUAGCCACGGACGUCCAGUGUGUGCUGGCGGACACCCACGGACGUCCUGUGUGUACUGAACAGACAACCCACGUGGGCCAAAAUAACCCGAACAGUCCACGGGAAGGGUCAGCGUGCUGAGUCCAAGGACCAACGUGCUGAUAUGUGUACUGAUGGACAGCCACGGACGUCCUGUGUGUGCUGACGGACACACACGGACACACAUGGACAGCCACGGACGUCAUGUGUUUGGUGACGGACACACACGGACAUCAUGUGUGUGCUAACAGACACCCACGGACGUCCUGUGUGUACUGAACAGACAGCCAACGUGGGCAAAAAUCACCCUAACAGUCCAUGGGAAGGGCCAGCGUGCUGAGUCCAAGAACCAGCGUGCUGAUAUGUGUACUGAUGGACAGCCACAAACAUCCUGUGUGUGUGCUGAAAGACACACACGGACACACACAGACAGCCACGGACGCCCUGCGUGUACUGACGGACAGCCAUGGACAGCCAUGGACAUCCUGUGUGUGGUGACGGACACACACGGACGUCCUGUGUGUGCUGACAGACAGCCCACCUGGGCCAAAAUCACCCAAACAGUCCAUGGGAACGGCCAGCGUGCUGAGUCCAAGGACCAACGUGCAGAUAUGUGUACUGGUGGAUAGCCACGGACGUUCUGUGUGUGCUGACGGACACACACGGACAGCCACAGACAUCAUGUGUGUGCUGACGGACACACACGGACGUCCUGUGUUUUUCCUGACGGACACCCAUCGACGUCCUGUGUGUGCUGACGGACACACACGGACACACACGAACAGCCACAGACGUCUUGUGUGUGCUGACGGACAGCCACAGACAGCCACAAACGUCCUGUGUGUGCUGGUGGACACCCACAGAUGUCAUGUGUGUACUGAACAGACAGCCCACAUGGGCCAAAGUCACCAAAACAGUCCACGGGAAGGGCCAGCGUGCUGACUCCAAGGACCAACGUGCUGAUAUCUGUACUGAUGGACAGCCACUGACGUCCUGUGUGUGCUGACAGACACACACGGACACACACGGACACACACGUACAGCCACAAAUGUCCUGUGUGUGUUUGCGGUUGAGAAUGAUCAAGUCCAGUAAUGGACGAGGAUCAGGCCACGACCUACUCGGAGAUGGACCUAUGGUCGGGGUGAAACGGUCGAGUCCCUGAGUGGACCAGGACCAGAAUACGAUCACGUCCGUAAAUCGACCAGGAUUGAAUUAUGACAAAGUCCAGUGAAGGACAGAAGUCAAGUCUGAGGUGUUUUUAGUCUGGAGGGAUUAAGAUCGCAAUGUGGCCAAGCCUGAAAAGGUUGUGGCUGUUUAAGGGGAUGAUCCAGUACGUUGUGGCUGAGGUCAUGAAACUUAUUGUCCAUGAAAGACAAAAGAACCAUAACAAUCUGUUAGGACUCAUUGUAGGACGAGCAGCCUAAAGAUUGUAACGAGUUCCUGAGGACUUGACUUGUACAUCGAGUGGCGUGGGGAUUGGCCAAAUCUACUAAGGCUCGAGUAUGCAGCAUGUUCCUAGGGACUGGUUAUGAUCUAGGCAUGGACUAUGAUCAGAGAUAGAAUAAAAUCUGAAGAAGAUGAUAUUCAAAAGAAAGACAUGGACUUGUUGGAUACUUAAAUCGCUACCUGGAGAGUUCGUCCAGUGACACAAGGAAUGUCUUUGGAUGGAAUUACAAGUAUCACUUGAUUGGAUGCUUGAUGGACCCUCCACUGUGGUCGAAGUAAACAAGUAAGGGUGCCAUAAGCAAAACCAGAAAGGACCACUUGAUAGGAUUUUUGUGGUUAAAUGCUUAUCAAGUGGGGGAGACUUCUACAACGAUGGUAAAAGGAAUUUGAUCGUCGAAGUGGUGAUUUGGUGGUUCUGAGUCAAGCUUGUUCUAUUCCCUGAUAAGGACUAGGAUAAGUCGGUUGGAAUAUUUUGUCUUGGGACAAGAUAUAAUCACCACCGGAUUCAAGGACGAAUCCAUUUCAAGUGGGGGAGACUUGUAACAUCCGCGACCCUAGAUAAGGACCGUUGGGACGGCCAUAGUUCGAGGAAACGAACCUGCCGGUCUUAAGACCUGAAGGCUAGCGUUCCAUGGCCAAGAUAGAAGGUUAAGGACGUCAGGAUGCUGAGACUUAACCUUAUAAGAGAAAGAAGUCAGCUAGGAUAAGCUGUACAGAAGCUGGGCGAUGCUUACGGGAAGCUCGAUCAGCUAGAUGUAGCUCGGUCAAGCUCAAGCUAGCUCGUUCCAAGUUAAGUCCGCUCAACCAGCUGGACUACUAGCUCACUCAGCAGAGGCAGCUGGGAGUCAGCUCAUCUCAGCUCGACGGACUGUUCGGGUUUUGGGUCGAUAGUCCCGGUCCAUGUCAGUGGCGGGCCA